AACUCGCGACCGUCGGUGUUUAGGCGCCGCCGACACGGCACAUGCACCAUUAUAUCAAAGCGGUCGUCAAACAGCAAUAGGUAACUGCUGUAAAUUGUUGAGAAAUUCCCUCGAGUGUUUAUGGGCUCCAUCAUCAAACCUGGUCCUGCGACACAGAUGAUCACACAACAGGUAAUUGCUAUAAGUCGUUGAAGAGUUCCCUCGACUAUCUUUCGUCUCCAU
rnacentral:misc_RNA from 1 species